CCUACGGGUGGCAGCAGUGGGGAAUAUUGGGCAAUGGGCGAAAGCCUGACCCAGCAACGCCGCGUGAAGGAAGAAGGCCCUAGGGUUGUAAACUUCUUUUUUCAAGGAAGAAACAAAUGACGGUACUUGAUGAAUAAGCCAAGGCUACCUACGGGCCAGCAGCCGUGGUAAUACGUAGGUGGCAAGCGUUAUCCGGAUUUACUGGGUUUACAGGGUGUGUAGGCGGGACUGCAAGUCAGAUGUGAAAAGCAUGGGCUCAACCCAUGGCCUGCAUGUGAAACUGUAGUGCGUGAGUGUUGGAGAGGCAGGCGGAAUUCCGUGUGUAGCGGUGAAAUGCGUAGAUAUACGGAGGAACACCAGUGGCGAAGGCGGCCUGCUGGACAGUAACUGACGCUGAGGCGCGAAAGCGUGGGGAGCAAACAGGAUUAGAUACCCUUGUAGUC
rnacentral:rRNA from 1 species